rnacentral:tRNA from 1 species
GAGGGUAUAGCUCAGUGGUAGGGUGCCUGCUUAGUAUCACGAGGUCCUGGGUUCAAGCCCUGUGCCUCCA